GUCCUCUUCCAGGGAUCUCAUGGCGGCUCCAGGGCAGAGAGCAGGAGGAAGAGGAAGAAGAUAAUUUCCUAUUUGUCCCUGCUUAUAUUCUGAGUCUGCCUGCUAUGUCACUUCCUGCCUGGAUCUCUACUACAUUUCCCAGAAUCCUCCUUGACUCCUAGUCCAGCCUAACUUGCUUCUUCAUUGGCCAACAGUACUUUAUUAAAAAACCAAUAAGAUAAACAUAUACACAGAAGGACCUCCCUAGUCAUGGCUAGACAGAAUUUUGGGGGCAGAGAGAAUGCUGGGGAGAAGGGUAGAGUCAGAGAGGACACCAUGAGAUGCAGAGUGAGUAAGAUGGGGAAUAGGUACAUGAGGUAAAUGAGCUUUAGGGCAGCACAUAGAUGAAUAGAAAUGGGCUAACUGAAGUUAUAAAAGCUAGCUUAAAACAAGCUUAACCUAUCAGCUGAGCAUUUAUAAUGAAUAUUAAGUCUCUGUGUGGUUAUUCAUGGAGCAGCUGGCAGAACAGAGCUGAUCAGCAGUCUAAACAAACUAGAAAACUCUGCCUACACCACCCUUCCUUUGCAGUCCCUCUGCCACCUUCAGACAGAAAAAGUGAAUGAUGGCAUCAGAAAUAUUCCUCAAAAUUAGUUGGGGAACAUUUUCACCAGCGUUAUUAAGUUUUCUAAAACUUUGUCUUCACCAGCCAGGCCAUUAUAGACCAAGUUUGGUUGUGGACACCGAGAAUCAAUUUGUGUGAACAAAACAAGUGGACAUUAAGUUAGUCAGUCUCUGGUCAAAUGGGUCGAUGUCAUAUUUUGGAAAUUUCUAGUAAAACACUUAGAAGCAGUGACACUGGAAUGCCUUCAUCUUAAUGAGACUAGAAAAGAGUGGACCAGAGUUGGAUGGGAGAGUGUGAAGAAUGGGGCAUAACCAUAAUUUUUCAAUGCCUUUAGGCUGGGCUGGGCCCUAGACAACUGGACCAUGGAUAUAUCUGGCCUGUAAAACAAUAUCACAAGCAGAAAUGGAAUUGUAUCCUAGUUAAACAACCAGAUUUGCUUCUUCAAUGCCUACUACCUCCAUUGAGUAGAUUUUACCACUGCAUCUUCUCAUUUGGAGAAUGACCCGUCUUACCAAGGUUAUUCGUCAUGGAGAUAACACUGAACAAUCAUUAACUGCAUGCUUUUUUCAGGCUGACAUUUCUAAGCCCAUGCAGAAAGCCCACAACUUUCGGUUUAAGAAUAUUUCAGCCUGACUCCCUGAGCAUGUAACUGUUGACACACUAAAUGACAGGGCUGAGUCACUCUUUAGCCUGGAACCAAGGCUGUAUUCUUAGUUGGUGUUGCUCUUCAAGGCCUGGGUGUCCAUAAAAAGAAUAUGCCUCUUCCUGAACUCCUGAGAGCAUCUCUAUCCUGUCCCUCUGGCAUCUGGACAACUGCUAAAUCGAGACAACUGAAAAUGACAUGGCAUUCCAAGAAGGAAGAGAGUCCGGAGCCUUGAAAGGGUUAAGGUAAGGAAACUACCAUAGUUAGGUAGGGAAUCCUUUUCCAGUAAGAGCGCACCACAAUGCUACAACACCAUUCAGAAAAUCUGAGAAGAGUGGUUGGUGAGUUCCUCAAGCAAUUCUCAGAUUGAGGUUGUGCUUUGUUUGUUUAGUUGACUUUUGUUUUUGUUUUUUAAAACAGGGUCUCAUGUAUUCGACUUUGGUCUCAGAAUUGCUAUGUAACCAAGGCUGACCUUGAAUUUAUGAACUGCCUGCCUCUAUUUCCUGAAUGCUGAGAUUACAAAUGUAACACACCACGUCAAAUUUCCUAUGUUGUGGAAUCUCAAGUUUAGGGCAUUGUGCAUGGUGGGCAAGCAGUCUACUAACUAAGCUAGUUCUCUACCCCAGAUGUGAGGUUUUGAGGUGCAUUUACAAGGAGGCAUGGGAAUACCAGGAAGGGCCAUGACCACACUGGAUCAGAAUGUGGAACCUACCAGGCCAUACUGAUCCCCCAGCCACCAGAGAAUCUUGACAUCUUCCCUCUUCCUAUAGUGACGAUCCUCCCCCAGGCAGGUUGGUUUUCCAAAAGGAAAACUGUGAGGAACUUCAAUUAAAGCCUUACCUCCUGCAAUGAACAUUUCUGUUGGUUUAUCAAAUUUCUGGGAAAUACAGGACAUGGUGUGCAUGAAUAAUACAUUUUUGUUUGCUUUAGUAUUUGGACUUGGAUAUUUUCUGAGUGCAUUUGUAAAAGCUGUUAGAGGGACUUCACUUUCCAUUAAUAAUUUUAGGAAGCAAAGCUUAUAGUAGGAUUUGUGACCCACAGAUCCCUAACUGUUGCAUAAAUAAUCCAGGAAACUGCAAAGUGGUCUUAUGUAAAGUCACUCCACAAAUACAUGUUUAAUUAGCACCUACUAAUGUAACAGAUGCAUUGGAAAUAAGUUAGGGUGACAUGUACUAUUCUGAACAAUACAAUAUCCGCUCAGAGGGGCUAAGGGCAUGCAACAUAACCUGUUUUUAAUUGAGCAACUUGUCACCCAACAAAAUAAGAGACAGCUUGUGUUUUACAUGUUUCUGUAGUGCAUCAUUAUCCAACAAUAAAUGCAAAAAUAAAUUACAAAAAAAGCCUCUCAAAUUUCUCAACAAGAAACAAAAAUUUAAAGGCACAGUUUUCUUUAGAUUUAGCUGUUGGGAGAUUUUGUAUGAAAAGGAGUGGACCUACACCACACUGGUUAUUUCAAAAACAAAACUUUAGUGUCUAAAAAAAAUUGAUAUAAGUAUUUGUGUGUGUGUGUGUGUGUGUGUGUGUGUCUGUGAAAUUAUUGAGAAAAAUAGCAAGAUGACAGAGUAAGAAAGAUUGCCAAGGAAAGUUUCUGUGUCUGAAAUGCCCUGGGAUCUCGCAGCUCAAAUCGAGGGGGUGAGUUAUUUAUCUUUGGUGCCUCUAAUACUGGUGAUUAAAGGGAUGUCAAGGGCAGUCUUGCAAGGGGAAUAAACUUUCAAAGGAAUAUCUCUGCUUGGGAGAUAAAUAUAGAAAGGUCAAACAGUCCUUCUCUUUGUCUGGAGCCCAUUCCAGGCCUUGUAUGGCUAUAGAUUUUGGUGCUUGUCUGACUCCCAUGCAUUUUAUUUCAGGACCAACUGUGUCCCCGCCAUGUCACCCAGUAAUUUGUCUCUUCCUUUUGCCCUGUAUCUCUGUCCUCUCAGUUUGACUGCCCACUUCUAUACUGCUUGGGGCACCAACCCAAAGCUUCAGUAUGGGCCCUGAGGUCACUCUGUUGAUUAAAUUCCUAUGAAUUCAGAAUCAAUAAGGAAUUUGUUCAUUUGGAAUCAAUAAGAAAUUUGUUCAAUCAAUAAGGGAUUUAUUCAGUAAGGAAGGUGUUCGUUUCUUUCUGCGAGCAAGAUUCAGGACAUGCAAUCCAUCAAACCGACCUGUAGCUUUGAAACUCGUUGAAUU
rnacentral:lncRNA from 1 species